CCCUUAGAUGUUCUGGGCCGCACGCGCGCUACACUGACGAUGGCAACGAGUUUUUCCUUCGCCGAAAGGUGUGGGUAAUCUUUUGAAACAUCGUCGUGCUGGGGAUAGAUCAUUGCAAUUUUUGAUCUUGAACGAGGAAUUCCUAGUAAGCGCGAGUCAUCAGCUCGCGUUGAUUACGUCCCUGCACUUUGUACACACCGCCCGUCGCUACUACCGAUUGAAUGGUUUAGUGAGGACUCCUGAUUGGCGCCGCCGCCCCGGCAACGGAGCAGCGGACUGCCGAAAAGUUGUUCAAACUUGAUCAUUUAGAGGAAGUAAAAGUCGUAACA
rnacentral:rRNA from 1 species